rnacentral:rRNA from 1 species
UACGAGGGGGGCGAGCGUUGUUCGGAAUUAUUGGGCGUAAAGGGUGCGUAGGCGGUUUGGUAAGUCUUAUGUGAAAUCUAUGGGCUCAACUCAUAGUCUGCAUAGAAACUGCCGGGGCUUGAGUAUGGGGAGAGGUGAGUGGAAUUCCUGGUGUAGCGGUGAAAUGCGUAGAUAUCAGGAGGAACACCUGUGGCGAAAGCGGCUCACUGGACCAUAACUGACGCUGAUGCACGAAAGCUAGGGGGAGCAAACAGG